rnacentral:rRNA from 1 species
UUAAGUUAACAAGGGCGCAUGGUGAAUGCCUUGGCACUAGGAGCCGAUGAAGGACGGGACUAACACCGAUAUGCUUCGGGGAGCUGUACGUAAGCUAUGAUCCGGAGAUUUCCGAAUGGGGCAACCCAGCAGUUUUAAUCAACUGUUACCACUAGAUGAAUUCAUAGUCUAGUUGGAGGUAAACGCUGUGAACUGAAACAUCUCAUUAGCAGCAGGAAUAUAAAGAAAUUUCGAUUCCCUAAGUAGCGGCGAGCGAACGGGGAACAGCCCAAACCAAAGUGCUUGCACUUUGGGGUUGUAGGACUGAACAUUUGAGUUACCAAAGAAYUUGAUAGUCGAAGGAUUUGGGAAAAUCCGCCAUAGAUGGUGAUAGCCCAGUAGAUUAAAUCAARUUCUCUCAGUUCAGGAUCCUGAGUACGGCGGAACACGUGAAAUUCCGUCGGAAUCCGGGAGGACCAUCUCCCAAGGCUAAAUACUACCUAGUGACCGAUAGUGAACCAGUACCGUGAGGGAAAGGUGAAAAGCACCCCGGGAGGGGAGUGAAAUAGUUCCUGAAACCAUGUGCCUACAAUAAGUCAGAGCGCGUUAAUGCGUGAUGGCGUGCCUUUUGUAGAAUGAACCGGCGAGUUAUGAUCCCGUGCAAGGUUAAGACUAAAAAGUCGGAGCCGUAGCGAAAGCGAGUCUGAAAUGGGCGUUUUGAGUACGAGGUUAUAGACCCGAAACCAGGUGACCUAUCCAUGUCCAGGUUGAAGGUGCGGUAAAACGCACUGGAGGACCGAACCCGUGUAAGUUGAAAAUUGCUGGGAUGAGGUGUGGAUAGCGGUGAAAUUCCAAACGAACUUGGAGAUAGCUGGUUCUCUCCGAAAUAGCUUUAGGGCUAGCCUCGGAAUWAGGAUCAUGGAGGUAGAGCACUAUUUGGACUAGGGGCCCGUCUUGGGUUACUGAAUUCAGAUAAACUCCGAAUGCCAUUGAUUCAUAUCCGGGAGUCAGACGAUGAGUGAUAAGAUCCACCGUCGAAAGGGGAACAGCCCAGACCAUCAGUUAAGGUCCCUAAAUGUAUGCUAAGUGGAAAAGGAUGUGGAGUUGCAUAGACAACUAGGAUGUUGGCUCAGAAGCAGCCACCAUUUAAAGAGUGCGUAAUAGCUCACUAGUCGAGUGAUCCUGCGCCGAAAAUGUACCGGGGCUAAGCAUACUACCGAAACCAUGGAUGCGACCAUUAGGUCGCGUGAUAGGAGAGCGUUCUAAGGGCGGUGAAGCAAGAUCGUGAGGACUUGUGGAGCGCUUAGAAGUGAGAAUGCCGGUAUGAGUAGCGAAAGAUAGGUGAGAAUCCUAUCCACCGAAUGACUAAGGUUUCCUGGGGAAGGCUCGUCCUCCCAGGGUUAGUCGGGACCUAAGUCGAGGCCGAGAGGCGUAGACGAUGGAUAACAGGUUGAGAUUCCUGUACUAGUUAAGUGCGUUUGAGCAAUGGAGGGACGCAGGAGGCUAAGAUGUGCAUUCUGUUGGAUUAGAAUGUCCAAGCAGUAAGUCUUGUGAAGAGUCAAAUGCUUUUCACUUUAAGGACAAGCUGUGAUGGGGAGCGAAAUUUAGUAGCGAAGCGUCUGAUGUCACACUGCCGAGAAAAGCUUCUAGUGAGUACUUAACUACCCGUACCGCAAACCGACACAGGUAGUCGAGGAGAGAAUCCUAAGGUGAGCGAGUGAACUCUCGUUAAGGAACUCGGCAAAAUGACCCCGUAACUUCGGGAGAAGGGGUGCUGAUCGCAAGAUCAGCCGCAGUGAAUAGGCCCAGGCGACUGUUUAUCAAAAACACAGGUCUCUGCAAAAUCGUAAGAUGACGUAUAGGGGCUGACGCCUGCCCGGUGCUGGAAGGUUAAAAGGAUGGGUUAGCUUCGGCGAAGCUCAGAAUUGAAGCCCCAGUAAACGGCGGCCGUAACUAUAACGGUCCUAAGGUAGCGAAAUUCCUUGUCGGGUAAGUUCCGACCCGCACGAAAGGCGUAACGAUCUGGGCACUGUCUCAACGAGAGACUCGGUGAAAUUAUAUUGUCCGUGAAGAUGCGGACUACCCGCGACAGGACGGAAAGACCCCAUGGAGCUUUACUGUAGCUUGAUAUUGAGUGUUUGUACAGCUUGUACAGGAUAGGUAGGAGCCAUAGAAACCGGAACGCUAGUUUCGGUGGAGGCGUUGGUGGGAUACUACCCUCGCUGUAUGACCACUCUAACCCGCACCACUAAUCGUGGUGGGAGACAGUGUCAGGUGGGCAGUUUGACUGGGGCGGUCGCCUCCUAAAAAGUAACGGAGGCGCCCAAAGGUUCCCUCAGAAUGGUUGGAAAUCAUUCGCAGAGUGUAAAGGCACAAGGGAGCUUGACUGCGAGACAGACAGGUCGAGCAGGGACGAAAGUCGGGCUUAGUGAUCCGGUGGUACCGUAUGGAAGGGCCAUCGCUCAACGGAUAAAAGCUACCCUGGGGAUAACAGGCUUAUCUCCCCCAAGAGUCCACAUCGACGGGGAGGUUUGGCACCUCGAUGUCGGCUCAUCGCAUCCUGGGGCUGUAGUCGGUCCCAAGGGUUGGGCUGUUCGCCCAUUAAAGCGGUACGCGAGCUGGGUUCAGAACGUCGUGAGACAGUUCGGUCCCUAUCCGUCGCGGGCGUAGGAAAUUUGAGAGGACCUGUCCUUAGUACGAGAGGACCGGGAUGGACAUACCUCUGGUGUACCAGUUGUGCCGCCAGGCGCAUCGCUGGGUAGCUACGUAUGGAUGUGAUAAACGCUGAAAGCAUCUAAGUGUGAAACACACCUCGAGAUGAGAUUUCCCAUUNNUUUAUGGAAGUAAGACCCCUGAAAGAUGAUCAGGUAGAUAGGUUAGAAGUGGCAGUGCGGUGACGCAUGAAGCGGACUAAUACUAAUCGGUCGAGGACUUAACCAA